rnacentral:rRNA from 1 species
AUGACAUGUCCGGACGAGUCGGGCUCAACUGCUGAGUUGCAGCUUGAGUCACUGGAGUUGGACAUCAAGACGCUGCAGCACGGCAGAGAAGAAGAUCGCAAAGAGUUUCAGCAGUUCCAGGCGACAGUGAACGGAAAUUUUGCCACGAUGCAAAAGAAUUUUGACAAAAUCCAGGAAAAUUUCAGGCGGUUACUGUUGGAUCAGGAAGCAGUUCCUGCAGAUGAAAGAGAGGAAGGCCAGGGCAGUGUCCAAGUGAGGUACAACCACAAUCACUCUCCCCAAAUAGCUCCUGGAAGACCCAAACAGCUGCAAGCUCCAACUCCUCCGUCAGUAACAAUGCCAUAG